rnacentral:lncRNA from 1 species
UUUUUUUUUUUUACUUCUUAGGGCCGCAUCCACGACAUAUGGAGGUUCCUAGGCUAGGGGUCCAAUCGGAGCUGUAGCCGCCAGCUUACCCCACAGCCAGAGCAGCGCCAGAUGUGAGCUGCCUCUGCAACCUACACCACAGCUCAUGGCAAUGCCAGAUCCUUAACCCACUGAGCGAGGCCAGGGAUUGAACCUGCAACCUCAUGGUUCCUACCCCGAUUCGUUUCUGCUGAGCCACGACAGGAACUCCUGAAAUGCUUUAUUUCUAAAACUAUGGCCUUUCUUUCCUUUUGUUGGUUCAAGGAUCCACACAUCACAUUAACUUUUCUUGGAAAUAGUAAAGCAUGGAAACAUUUUAAUAGUUGAUGAAUGUUUUUUAACGAAGUGUUGCAAAAAAGACCUAGUUUUUCUAAGCUGCAAAUGGAGUCAGAUGACUCACUAGCCACCUUGACCUUGGAUGGGUCAGACUGUGCAUCCAGCUGACUCAGGCCCUUCUAAGUCCAUGUCGUGAUGGUUAGUGGUGGUCUUAGUCAAGCUGAGAGAGGAUGUUAGAGCAGGGGUGGUACCAAGACAACCUGUUGAAUGUGUAGGGUUGUUGAUAGCAGCUGCAGGUCACGUUUCUCUUUCAGGAUGGCCUCAGUGCUUUCUGCACUGUGACUUCUGUAUCUUAAACACACCACCAAUUCGAUAAUCCUAUAGUCAUUUUUUCUUGUCUAUUUAUCUUGGUGGUGAACCCAAGGCACAGAGGAUUUAAGCAGCUAGACUAAAGGCCAAUUUAACCACUGCCAGAAACUGAACUUUUUUUUUUUUCUUUUUUUUUUUUUUUUUGAUCUCUUGGGCCGCUCCCGUGGCAUAUGGAGGUUCCCAGGCUAGAGGUAGAAUUGGAGCUGUAGCCACCGGCCUACGCCAGAGCCACAGCAACACGGGAUCCAAGCUGCAUCUGCGACCUACACCACAGCUCACUGCAAUGCUGGAUCCUUAACCCAUGGAACAAGGCCAGGGAUCGAACCGGCAACCUCAUGGUUCCUAGUCGGAUUCGUUAACCACUGAGCCAUGACGGGAACUCCAGAAACUGAACUUGUUGAUCAGUACCAGCUCUUGUCUUAAAUAAGGUAUUGUGAAUGAUACUUACACAGCAAAAUAUUUCAUAACUUGUCUUAAGACACGGUAGAAUUAUACUUUCUGUUCUCUGUGGUUGGAAGGUAUAACAUAAAAUUCAACUACCCUUAGGGGUAAAUCACAGAUAAAAACCAUUAUGACCAAGCAGGCAUUAUUAUGUAAAAUCUAACUAUAUCAAGUGGAAUUAUUUAGACAGAAUUAUGGUGAAGCUAAUCUGAAAUCAGAUUCUACUUAUUUUGGGCCCCCAAACUCCUUUCAGAUGGUGAUAAAUGCUCCCCACAGUUUUACAUUCAUUUCUAGGAACGAAACACAAGACUUCUUCACAAUAUUGUUGGGAUCGUUUCCAUUUGUUCCUUAAGAGCCUGGUGAGAAGCACAUCCUAUCCAGCAGUAGAAUGGUAAGUAUUCAAAAAUCAAGCUCAUAAUUACCCGUGGCAUUUCUCAGUUUGCUUUUAGCCAAUGCCAUCUGGCAGAAGAGUGGCACCACUUCUAAGACACCAGCGGCAGAAAAACCCCGAGUCGCUGCUGUCUACAAACCUCCCUCUCACUGUCUACACUGCUGAUCUCUGCAACGGACAAGCCAAAUGUUGAUGCGGAUAUGCUUAAAAGUUGCCAGUGGGUCCCAACUUCUUUUUCUUUUGUUGCUAGGAGGGGCAGAGUUCAUUACUGACAAAGAAACCCAGAGCCAGAUUCGCGGUGGCACAUUCAGGCACCGAGGUCAUCUCUGGACAUUCUCUGGGGGGACUCCAGCCUCUGCACAUGGGGGAAGCCAGAGCCUGGCCAGCUUGAGUUGGACUGAGUCCUCCCAACAGCUCAAGGGGACCUGGCAAAGUUGAGUUCCCUUUGACACUUGCUGGGAAGACAGUCAGCAAACCCAAAGCAUUUGUACCCUCCUCCCCUGGCAACUAUAAAGUGACCACAUGUCCCGUUCCCAGUUUCUUUCAGUAGAAGAAAGCCCCAUUCCCACUCCCCUCUAAAAUAAGACCAGGAGUUCCUAUCAUGGCUUAGUGGUGAUGAACCCCACUAGUAUCCUUGAGAACGUGGGUUCGAUCCCUGGCCUUACUCAGUGGGUUAAGGAUCUGGCGUUGCCAUGUGCAGAUGUGGCUCAGAUCCUGUGUUGCUGUGGCUGUGGCUGGCAGCUGCAGCUCAGAUUCAACCUCUAGCCUGGGAACUUCUAUAUGCCAGGGGUGCAGCCCUAAAAAAAAAAAAAAAAAAAAAAAAAGACAGAAAAAUGAAGUGAGGCCAUAAUUCAUUUGACAGAAUUAUAACAUCUUGCCUCAUUUCCUUCUAAGUCCUGUUAAUACUUUUUGGUGUUGGCAUGAAGAAAAUUUUAAUUUUUGUACCAAACUACAAAAAAAAAAAAAAAACCCAAAUAAAUAGAAAGGAAAGGAAGACAUUGCGCUAAAUAUUUACAAAAGUUGCUAAAGAAAUUUAGGGGUAUCAGGAUGCUUUUAUGAAAUAUGAAAGUCUGGUGUAUAUUUCCAGAAUUUUAAUAAGUUUAAUUUCCCUUUCUAAAAAGUUUCAUCUCUUGGUGUUCAACACCAAGGCCCAUAUAUUGUCCUUCCAUCUCUGUGGUUUUUUGUUUGUUUGUUUUGUUUUUUUCUUUUCUAGGGCCGCACCUGCGGCAUAUGGAGGUUCCCAGGCUAGGGGUGGAAUCAGAGUUGUAGCCGCCGGCCUACACCACAGCCACAGCAACGUGGCAUCUGAGCUGCAUCUGUGCCCUACACCACAGCUCACAGUAACGCCGGAUCCUUAACCCACUGGGUGAGGCCAGGGAUCAAACCCACAACACGGUUCCUAGUCGGAUUCAUUAACCACUGUGCCACGACGGGAACUCCCAUCUCUGUGUUUUUAAUGCAAUCUCCUUUAUCUCCAAAUGUAUUUAUAUUAUCAUUCAUGUGGUUUUCUUAACUAUUGUUUGUUUUUUUUUUUGGGGGGGGCCUGGGCAUUUAAAAGUAUAAUUUUGUGAUCAAGUAUACGAGUCAAGGUUAAGUUCUACCUAAAUAUCAAGGUCAAGCUGACUUUUUGUUGGUUGUUGUUAGAAAAAUAAAAACGUCUAAAAACCAAUGAUAAUUCCACAUCAGUAAGGAUCAGAAGCAAAAAUAUUUGAAAGUAGAAGAAUGUCCCUCAGGGAUGAUCAAUUUUAUGAUGAUGAUUUAUUCCAAGGGCUAGUUUGCAAAAUGGCUAAGUUCC